rnacentral:rRNA from 1 species
CGGCGCACAUAAGACAUGCAAGUCGAACGGACUUAACCAUUAUUUUACUAUUGGAGCGGUUAGUGGCGGACUGGUGAGUAACACGUAAGCAACCUGCCUAUCAGAGGGGAACAACAGUUAGAAAUGACUGCUAAUACCGCAUAUGCCUUAAUUACCACAUGGUAAUAGAGGGAAAGGAGCAAUCCGCUGAUAGAUGGGCUUGCGUCUGAUUAGAUAGUUGGUAAGGUAACGGCUUACCAAGUCGACGAUCAGUAGCCGGACUGAGAGGUUGAACGGCCACAUUGGGACUGAGAUACGGCCCAGACUCCUACGGGAGGCAGCAGUCGGGAAUAUUGCGCAAUGGAGGAAACUCUGACGCAGUGACGCCGCGUGCAGGAAGAAGGUUUUCGGAUUGUAAACUGCUUUAGACAGGGAAGAAACAAGACAGUACCUGUAGAAUAAGCUCCGGCUAACUACGUGCCAGCAGCCGCGGUAAUACGUAGGGAGCAAGCGUUAUCCGGAUUUAUUGGGUGUAAAGGGUGCGUAGACGGGAAUGCAAGUUGGUUGUGAAAUCCCUCGGCUCAACCGAGGAAUUGCAACCAAAACUAUAUUUCUUGAGUGCUGGAGAGGAAAGCGGAAUUCCUAGUGUAGCGGUGAAAUGCGUAGAUAUUAGGAGGAACACCAGUGGCGAAGGCGACUUUCUGGACAGUAACUGACGUUGAGGCACGAAAGUGUGGGGAGCAAACAGGAUUAGAUACCCUGGUAGUCCACACCGUAAACGAUGGAUACUAGGUGUAGGGGAUGAAUAAUCUUCUGUGCCGUCGCAAACGCAGUAAGUAUCCCACCUGGGGAGUACGGCCGCGAGGUUGAAACUCAAAGGAAUUGACGGGGGCCCGCACAAGCAGUGGAGUAUGUGGUUUAAUUCGACGCAACGCGAAGAACCUUACCAGGGCUUGACAUAUACAUGAAAAUCUAAGAGAUUAGAUCCCUCUUCGGAGCAUGUAUACAGGUGGUGCAUGGUUGUCGUCAGCUCGUGUCGUGAGAUGUUGGGUUAAGUCCCGCAACGAGCGCAACCCCUGUUCUUAGUUGCCAGCAUGUAAAGAUGGGAACUCUAAGAAGACUGCCGGUGAUAAAUCGGAGGAAGGUGGGGACGACGUCAAAUCAUCAUGCCCUUUAUGUCCUGGGCUACACACGUACUACAAUGGCUGUAACAAAGGGAAGCGAACCCGCGAGGGGAAGCAAAACCCAUAAAAGCAGUCUCAGUUCGGAUUGAAGGCUGAAAUUCGCCUUCAUGAAGCCGGAAUUGCUAGUAAUGGCAGGUCAGCAUACUGCCGUGAAUACGUUCCCGGGCCUUGUACACACCGCCCGUCACACCAUGAGAGUUGGGGAUACCCGAAGCCUGUGAGCUAACUGUAAAGAGGCAGCAGUCGAAGGUAGAAUCAAUGAUUGG